GUCAGGGACACAGACCCCAACCUGUCACGAGCUGCUGUGCUGGGCAGGGAGCCCUGGGGCCACCAUGGGAGUGUGUCCUGCCGAAACCUCUUUCCUUCCUCUGGGAGGCCAGGCAUGGCGAAAGUGUCCACCGUGCCCGUGACACCUGUACUGUUGUGCCCAAGAUUGCGAAUCCGAAAAACCAUGGAGAAGCCCACACCGAAGCAAACACACGAGGGUUUAUUUACAAGCUCGAGCUUGUGUCCAAGUAUACCUGACAGUGCGGAGCAGGGACUUCGACCCCGAGAGGAAGAAUCAGGGAUUCACCAGUUGGAGAUAACAGCAGUGCUCGUGACAUCACGUGACCUCCUUCAUGCAGGUCCCCUGUUAACCUCCCCGCCUCCAACGACCAUCAGUUUGUUUCCUAUCAUUAAGAGUCUGUAUUUCGGGGAUCCCUGGGUGGCGCAGCGGUUUGGCGCCUGCCUUUGGCCCAGGGCGCGAUCCUGGAGACCCGGGAUCGAAUCCCACAUCG